GUAUUAAAAUUCAACAAGAAACAAAACAGAAAUAGAGGUGGUGUAUA
rnacentral:guide_RNA from 1 species